CUGCUGCCUCCCGUAGGAGUCUGGACCGUGUUUCAGUUCCAGUGUGUCCGUGCGCCCUCUCAGGCCGGAUACAGAUCAUCGUCUUGGUGGGCCAUUACCCCGCCUACUAACUAAUCUGCCGCGAACUCCUCUUCGAGCGCAUUGCUGCUUUGACCCGUAGGUGUUAUGCGGUAUUAGCUGAGAUUUCUCCCAGUUAUUCCCCACUCGAAGGUAGAUAAUUCACGUGUUACUCACCCGUGCGCCACUGUACUCAGGUAUUGCUACCCUUUCUCGUGCGACUUGCAUGUGUUAGGCACGCCGCCAGCGUUGAUUCUGAGCCAGGAUC
rnacentral:rRNA from 1 species